rnacentral:rRNA from 1 species
ACUCACUCUAACUACACUGACCUUACUUGCUUUUGGAAGCUAAGCAGGGUCAGGCCUUGUUAGCACUUGAAUGGAGACCACAAGGGGAUGCCAAGGAUCUGGUGAGCC